GAAAGAAGCUUCAUUUGUUCAAUGCCGAAAAAUUACGCUUGAUCAUCCGACAUUUAUCAGUGAGAAACACCAAUAAACAUAUUGUUUAUGGGAAAAUAUGCAAACUGGGGAUAAGCACUAUUAACCAUUAUGGCCAGUCACUCAUAUUCGCCUACGCAUAUGAGCAGAAACGAGGUUGAGGGUGGUAUAAUGUGAAAGUUUUGUCAGAGAAAGAUCAACAAUAGAAACUGAUAAAAUUCUCAGAGAUCUAUCAGUGCUUUGGAAAAUUAUACUCGGAUUCAAAUGACUUGGAGAACCCCCUUAAGAUCUACAUUCGCAUUUCACAUUGAAGACGAACAAACAGUGGAAAACAAUGUCUUUGUAUGAUGCUUACAAGUUACAAGGCGGCAUUGAAUCGUGUAUUUAGCGAAAGAAAAGGCGGGAGUUGGUGUUCCGCAUUUGAAAAAGGUGCAACAAAGAAAGAGUGCAAUAAGAGAGGUAUCGACGAGUACAUAACCAAAGUGUGGCAAAGUGCGAGUAUUUACCGAUUCAAAUAAUUAUAGAAGACACAAGGUAGAUGACGAGGGAGUGUGUUCCUCUUGCAAGUUUCACGUGAGCUACGAUGCUGAAGUAGUCAAAGAAUUAAGAAGGAAUGCCGAAUGUUGGAUUCGUACGAAAUAAAAAUAUAUCUAACAUGCGAAACGAGUUUAGUGUAGCGAAGGAAAAUAGCAAGGAAGAAAAUUUAAGGUAACAUAGGCGAGAGAUAGCUUUACCGAAUUAGAGGGAUACGGGGAGACCUUAAAACGAUAGCAAAUGUGUUUUGAAGUUGCUAAUGGAAGAAAAUAUAUGCGAGAUGGCGAAAAGCAGAGUAUCAAAUUUGAAUAAGGGAUAUUGGCGAAAAUCAAAUAUCAGUAGGCAAGUAUGAUUAUGAGUCCAUGCUGAUAAUGCAUGCCAAUGAUACACAGAUAAAGAGCAUGCAAUAUUAUUUAUUUAUUUAUCAGUUUGUUUGUUUAAACAUGGAAAUAUGGAUAUUGUUAAGGAUCAUAGUGCACCAGUAACACAUUUCACGAUAGCUUGGCCGUUAUCGUAACUGAGCUGUUAAAGCCAUGUUAGAAGGUGCAGUAGAAUAUGGGGAAAUAGAGCGAAAUUCAAAUGGGAUAUAGUAGUGUCUAUAGUGAAAUGGUAUAUUUUGAACUGGAAACCCCUCCCCCCACUUGAUCCUAUUUGGACCCACUUGGAGCCAAAAAAUAGUGUAUCAACGGUUUGCACUCAGGAGGAAGAUCACCGUAUUCUUGCUACCCCACAAAGGGAUGAACACCCCACAUGGAAAACUCAAUACUCAGAUGGUAGAACUGAGAAUAUAUUUCAAGAGCUAGUACGAGAAUACUGCCCCCCGGGAGUAUGAUGCCCCCACCAAAGGUUUUGGCAUCCCACAUCAAGGAUAUUAAAAGAUUGACUAGUGGGAUAAGAAAGGCGAGAGUAACCCCACGUUGCUCUAUGUGGUGGUCUCUCGUGACAAGUCGUCUGGAGAGACGGAUGCGCAAUUAAAAAGGGUUGACAAGGGGAAAUUGGAGAGUUCACGAGCUAUCCAUGGGAUUGUGGUAUAUUGUGAAUUUAUCUAGGUGUCUGAGUUUUCCGUGGACAAUGCAUCUGUGGAUUGCAUAUUCAAUAUCAGUACCUAUCUGUGAAUUGCAUGCAUCUUGAAAUGCACUGGAUGUCUAUCACCAAGAAAUACAUCGCAGUGUAAGAUUGCUUGCCACUGAUGGACCACCAUAUUUUGAGUAUUGCAUUUGUUUUUCUUUUUUCUUUUUUUUUUUUUUUUUUUUAAAAUAAUUUGCGCCGUUUUCUCGCUCAUUACCAGUUUUAUCGAAUUGCUCUCCAGCAAAUCGGCUAUUCAUUUAAUUGUAUUUCAUCCAUUCGCUCCUCCUUGAAUCUCCUCCAACUUCAAACUAACCAUCCCCUGAAUUCCUCCACUUCAAGGAAAUAGCACAUUCUAACGUGAACGCAAUCCAACAACGACUAAUGGUGUAAUAAUUUGCAACCUAAUAUAUUUUUUUUGUACGUCAAUUUAAGACACAUUCAUCGUCAACAGCGAAAUAUAUAAAAUGAAGUUGCAACGCUCAACCGGAAAAGUGCAUCCGGCAGCAUUAGAGUAUGUGGUAUAAAGUGUACUAUUUUUAAGGUUGUGCGUGGGAUUUCAAGGUAGGCUUAGAUACUACUGAACUGGAAAAAAAAAAUAUGUCCCUAAAUGUACCAAGGCAACGUUAUUUGAGCUUGUUGCCAUCAUAGUUACAAAAUGACCAUCACUCUUCUCACCUACAGUUGUGGGCGCCCACUUGAAAAAAAUACGUAUUACACAGAGUAAGGUAAGACAAAACAAGGAAGUUGUAAAAAGUGCGUUUCGUUCUUAGUUGCAUAAUAAUUCAUGAAAUUUGUAAUUCUUUUUAUAGAUAGUAGAUAGGAAUACAACACUAAAAAACAGUACACUUGUCCGGAUAAGUUGUCGCGUAUAUAUCAUUACAUUGUAUGGUUGCUGUUGAUUUAAUUUGGAUGGUACGAAGUUUGCCGGCAAGUUGAUACUGAGCAGCGCCAUUUGAGAUUGUAUCGUAAUCAGAUUGGUGGCUGAAGCAACAGUAGAAAAAAGAAUGGUUUGAUUUCGCAGUUGAAGAGAAAAUGUCAUUUUGUUGAGAAAAAGCCCCGCUUCAAAAGUGGACUCGGCUCUAGAGCAAAAAGUUAAUCGGCAAGUUUAUUCGAGUAGAAUAGGAAGAAGUAGUAAGAUAGAAUAGAUACUAGAGGAGAAUGGAUAUGACAAUAAAAUGGGUUGG